rnacentral:rRNA from 1 species
GAUGAACGCUGGCGGCGUGCCUAAUACAUGCAAGUCGAGCGAACAGAUAAGGAGCUUGCUCCUUUGACGUUAGCGGCGGACGGGUGAGUAACACGUGGGUAACCUACCUAUAAGACUGGGAUAACUUCGGGAAACCGGAGCUAAUACCGGAUAACAUUUGGAACCGCAUGGUUCUAAAGUGAAAGAUGGUUUUGCUAUCACUUAUAGAUGGACCCGCGCCGUAUUAGCUAGUUGGUAAGGUAACGGCUUACCAAGGCAACGAUACGUAGCCGACCUGAGAGGGUGAUCGGCCACACUGGAACUGAGACACGGUCCAGACUCCUACGGGAGGCAGCAGUAGGGAAUCUUCCGCAAUGGGCGAAAGCCUGACGGAGCAACGCCGCGUGAGUGAUGAAGGGUUUCGGCUCGUAAAACGCUGUUAUUAGGGAAGAACAAAUGUGUAAGUAACUGUGCACGUCUUGACGGUACCUAAUCAGAAAGCCACGGCUAACUACGUG